rnacentral:rRNA from 1 species
UACGUAGGGUGCAAGCGUUGUCCGGAAUUAUUGGGCGUAAAGAGCGUGUAGGCGGCCCGAUUAGUCCGCUGUGAAAGUCCAGGGCUCAACCCUGGAAUGCCGGUGGAUACUGUCGGGCUAGAGUCCGGGAGGGGCGAGUGGAAUUCCUGGUGUAGCGGUGGAAUGCGUAGAGAUCCGGAAGAACACCAGUGGCGAAGGCGGCCCGCUGGGCAGUGGCUGACGCUGAGGCGCGACAGCGUGGGGAGCAAACAGG